ACUGCUCAGUAACACGUCGAUAAUCUACCCUUAGAUUCAGGAUAAGCUCGGGAAACUGAGUCUAAAACUGAAUAGGAGAUUGGUGCUGGAAAGCUCUUUCUCUGAAGCGUAAGGUCUAAGGAUGAGUCGGCGGCUGAUUAGGCUGUUGGUGAGGUAAUGGCUCACCAAACCGAUGAUCAGUAGGGGAGAUGAGAGUCUUAGCCCCGAGAAGGACACUGAGAUACUGGUCCUAGUCCUAAGGGAUGCAGCAGUCACGGAACCUUUACAAUGCGCGAAAGCGUGAUAGGGGGAUCCCAAGUGCUUUACUAAUGGUAAAGCUUUUGCCAAAUGUAAGGAGUUUGGCGAAUAAGGGGUGGGUAAGACCGGUGCCAGCCGCCGCGGUAAUACCGGCGCCCCAAGUGGUGAUCGUUUUUAUUGGGCCUAAAGCGUCCGUAGCCUGUUUGAAAAAUUUCUUGUGAAAUUGUUCAGCUCAACUGAACAGCGUGCAGGGAACACUUUCAAACUUGGAACCGGGAGAAGACAGAGGUAUUUCAAGGGGAGCGGUAAAAUGCUAUAAUCCUUGGAGGACCACCAGUGGCGAAGGCUUCUGUCUAGAACGGCUUCGACGGUGAGGGACGAAAGCUAGGGUAGCAAAACGGAUUAGAUACCCGAGUAGUCUUAGCUGUAAACGCUGCGAGCUAGGUGGUGCAUAUUCUUUGAGAAUGUGCAGAGCCCUAACGAAGUGUUAAGCUCGCCGCCUGGGAAGUAUAGUCGCAAGGCCGAAACUUAAAGGAAUUGGCGGGGGAG
rnacentral:rRNA from 1 species